UACGGGGGGGGCAAGCGUUGUUCGGAAUUACUGGGCGUAAAGGGCUCGUAGGCGGCCAACUAAGUCAGACGUGAAAUCCCUCGGCUUAACCGGGGAACUGCGUCUGAUACUGGAUGGCUUGAGUUUGGGAGAGGGAUGCGGAAUUCCAGGUGUAGCGGUGAAAUGCGUAGAUAUCUGGAGGAACACCGGUGGCGAAGGCGGCUCACUGGCUCGUUUCUGACGCUCAGGCGCGAAAGCUAGGGGAGCAAACGGG
rnacentral:rRNA from 1 species